GAUGAAGAACGUAGCGAAAUGCGAUACUUGGUGUGAAUUGCAGAAUCCCGUGAACCAUCGAGUCUUCGAACGCAAGUUGCGCCCGAAGCCAUUAGGCCGAGGGCACGCCUGCCUGGGCGUCACACGUCGUUGCCCCCCCAUCUACUCCUUCGGGAUUGCGGGGGGCGGAUGAUGGCCUCCCGUGCGCCUCGCCGCGCGGUUGGCAUAAAUGCCAAGUCCUCGGCGACGCACGCCACGACAAUCGGUGGUUGCGAAACCUCGGUUGCCCGUCGUGUGCGGUCGUCGCGCAUCGAGGGCUCGAAAAAAUUGCCGGGUUCCGGCUCGGCUUUCAACGCGACCCCAGGUCAGGCGGGGUUACCCGCUGAAUUUAAGCAUAUCAAUAAGCGGAGGA
rnacentral:misc_RNA from 1 species